AACCCGGCACGGUGAGUGAACCACCUCCUCCCAAACAGGACACAACUUUGAGGGGAAAAAGCCGAAAAGGCAUGUUUAAACCUAAACAUAACAAAAAGUCUCUGAAAACACAAAAGAAUGAAAAACCUGGGAGGAAUCAACGGUCCCAUCCUUCGUGGGUGGAAUCCCCGUCACCCACGAGGACCGGUCUCUCCGUACAGGAGCCACAUGGCUGGGAGAGCCCCGAAUGAGUGGAGAAGCGGGCUAUUUAAGCCCUGCUUCUCCACCUGUUCCUCAGGUGCACUGCAUGUCCUUAAUUGGCCCGGGCCGGGUUGCCAAAAUACGGAUAUUAUUUGAGUAAACCGUUAUUGGCCAUGAAGGUGGCCAGGGGAUGAGUGGAGAGCAAUAUAGCCCCGUCCAUAAAUCAAAAAAAGUUUUACACCAAGAGUUGGUGACAGCAGAUGUUAAUCCGUCUCGAGUGUUUUCAUUACUACUACUAUUACUACUACUCCAUGUACUAUUUAUUUGAUCAUUGUUGAAUGUGUGUGUGUGGAUGGUGGCUGGUUUAAGGCUGCCAGCCUACGGCACACCACAUUGAGAAAUCAAUGCGCACACCCGGCGUGCAUUGAGAAAUCAAUGUGCACAGGUUAAACCAGCCAUCACCACGCACACUCGCAGAGAUCUCCUGCAUGGUUCCACAUCUCAUUUACCAUUCUCCAGCAACCUCUUUGUGUUGUUAUUCUUGGACACCACCACCCUGCGACCUUAUGUUUGGAGGAGCCCAGUGAAAUCCACCUCGGUGGAGUGUGGCAUGGUCAUUGCUGCAGCCAACUAGCAGACUAUUUACUGUUUACUAUUAGUCCUUUGACAGGCUUCUAUCCAAAGUGACCGAUAGUUGAUUUUAGAUACAUGUCACAUGAUCUGAUCAGGGGUUGGGAAUCUUAUCUAGAGUCUGGAACAUCUACAGGCAGACAUUGUUGGGAUAGAUGCCAGUAAGUUAAAACUCUGAGUCAAACACCGUAAACAAGACACUAAAUCUGCCACCUCGCUACAGGUGUCCAUCUCGGAGGCGUCCUAGCCCAAGGAACACAGACAGCCUGCAUCCUACUUUCCUUUCCUCUCGCUGCCAAUUCAUUCCAUUCCUCAUCCCACUCCUCCGUCCCACUCUCUUUACCUCCCUCCCCCCUCCAAAUACAACUAAAAGACAGUGAUAACAAAAAGCAGAGAAGAAGACAGCCUGAAUGACCAGUGAUUACGGCACCAACAAAGAAGUAGCCAGCAGAGGAGAGGGGUUGCAUGGAGGACGAGGGGAUUUACCGGGAUGCAGAGGGAGAGAGAGAGAGAGAGAGAGAGAGAGAGAGAGAGAGAGAGAGAGAGAGAGAGAGAGAGCCAAGGAUCCAUUAUCCACAGUAAACGGGUGCAAUCAGGGAGAGCAUAAUGUCACACAUGGGAGAUAGACAGAGUGAUGGAAGAAAGAAAAUACAAACUAAAAGCCUGAGGGUAAAGAGGGGGUGGUAGUGAUGGUGGUGGGGGUGGUGGUGGAGGACAGAGCCUGGCCACAGUUUUACAUUUUAAGGUGUGCUAGGAUAGAUGCACUAUCUUGCUUGGUGAACGGAGGUGAUGCAUGCACACACACACCAACACAAUUGGGGAUAAGGAGAGACUAUAAAUGGUUUUAUCUUCACAAAUCUUCACGUACAGACCCACACCCAGCUUAACAUACUCCCACUCAUACGCACACACAGACACAUACACAUUGUUAUUCAAACAUUUGCAUUUUAAUAUACGCAUGUAUUACAUAUCUCUUCAUCCUCUGCACUGCGGAAAGAUGCGCUUGGCAGCCCCCCCUGAGGGUUUUUCAUCUGCAUGUGUGUGGGUGUAUUUUUGCGUGUGUGUGUGUGUGUGUGUGUGUGUGUGUGUGUGUGUGUGUGUGUGUGUGUGUGUGUGUGUGCGUGUGUGUGUGUG